UACGGGGGGAGCAAGCGUUGUUCGGAUUCAUUGGGCGUAAAGGGUGCGUAGGCGGCGCGGUAAGUCGGAUGUGAAAUCUCGGGGCUUAACUCCGAAACUGCAUUCGAUACUGCCGUGCUUGAGGACUGGAGAGGAGACUGGAAUUUACGGUGUAGCGGUGAAAUGCGUAGAUAUCGUAAGGAAGACCAGUGGCGAAGGCGGGUCUCUGGACAGUUCCUGACGCUGAGGCACGAAGGCCAGGGGAGCAAACGGG
rnacentral:rRNA from 1 species